rnacentral:rRNA from 1 species
UACGAAGGGGGCUAGCGUUGUUCGGAAUUACUGGGCGUAAAGCGCGCGCAGGCGGUCCUUUAAGUCAGGGGUGAAAGCCCAGAGCUCAACUCUGGAACUGCCUUUGAAACUAGAGGACUUGGGUACGGGAGAGGUGAGUGGAAUUCCGAGUGUAGAGGUGAAAUUCGUAGAUAUCAGGAAGAACACCCGUGGCGAAGGCGGCUCUCUGGGACGGUACUGACGCUGAGACGCGAAAGCGUGGGGAGCGAACAGG